rnacentral:rRNA from 1 species
GACGAACGCUGGCGGCGUGCUUAACACAUGCAAGUCGAACGAAGUGGCGAACGGGUGAGUAACGCGUAAUCAACCUGCCCUUCAGAGGGGGACAACAGUUGAAAACGACUGCUAAUACCGCAUACUGAAGGAGGGGAUUGCGUCUGAUUGGCUAGUUGGAGGGGUAACGGCCCACCAAGGCGAUGAUCAGUAACCGGUCUGGGAGGAUGAACGGCCAAAUCUGGACUUGGACACGGGCCAGACUCCUACGGGAAGGAGCAGUGGGGAAACUUCCGAAAUGGACGAAAGUCUGACGGAGCAAAGCCGCGUGAGUGAUGACGGCCUUCGGGUUGUAAAGCUCUGUUAAUCGGGACGCGGUACCGGAAUAGAAAGCCACGGCUAACUACGUGCCAGCAGCCGCGGUAAUAC